rnacentral:lncRNA from 1 species
UAGGUUACUUCUACUUACUAAUUACUGAGACGUGAUACUCAUACAGUGUUUCAGUAAUGAGAGUUACAUGAUGUUCUAUGUGAGCUGAGAACUGAACUACAGAAUUCACCUCAGGAGGAAAAUCCUGUGCUGCACGUUCAGACUCCAGAAGAUGUUGCUGUUAAUAGGAAAGACAGUUUCAUACUGAACAAUUCCACAUGCAGGUUGUUUUUCCUGGCAAUUCUGAGACCUCAGGCAAUAGUCCAGCCAGCUGCUUGAACUGGGGCUUACCUUUGGGUAUCUAAGCAGUUAUAUCGAAGCCAACACUAAUUCUGCUUGAGUAUUUUCCAGGAUGCAGCUCCAUACUACAGUCUCUACUUCCUCCGCUCGGUGCACCUCUGCUAAGGAUGUCAGUUCAAGAUCAGUGCUGACUCCUGUCCAUCACAGCUCUCAUCAGAGCCUUUUUGUCUCUAACCCUAACCUUAACCUAACAGUACUCUACUGUCUCAACCCAUAGCUGCAGCAGUGACCUGGAGAAGAAAUAUAAAUUACUUGAAUUGACGGCAAACUCAUCCUAUUUCUAGGGAUUAACAGCAAUAGAAAAGCUGUGAAGAUACUGUUCACCACUGUUCCCAAACUGUGCCAGUCUCUAGGCCGUCCCUAUGUCUAACCCCUACUCUAGGUGUAUGUGAUAUCCCAUUGGCCGUUGUCCAUAAAUAUUUUACCUUUUAUCCUGUUUCUUCAGAUCUAAAGUGAUGCAGGAUUAAACUGAGCCCUUGAGGUACUACAACAUCAAAACUUCAGAUUGACCAGAAGCCAUUAGACCAGUGACCCCAGUCUGCCCUGGAAGAAACUGAAGACAUUCCCCUGUAACACCCUCAAUCUGCAUGAGCCGACAUGCAGCCUUACUCAGAAAUUGCCUUUGAUAGCAAUGGGAAAGGAGUUUGCCAAUCUAUGCUGGCACUUGCCUUCUCGAUGAGAAGGUUCCCAAACGAUGCACUGUCAUUUCAAGGAGUCAGUCCCUGCUUUCUACAAAUGCUGGGAGAUCCACGAGGACCUGGGAUGUGCGGAACUCAACCCCCAGACCGCACUACAGAAUCGUGGACCAGAAAAGCUCACGUCUGUCACCAAGGGUUGCCAUCAAAGAUCUAGUAGAUGGCGGUCAGCAUACACCACUGAGACAUGAAGGAGUGAAAAUACAAUGAAAAAUUUAACCAAAACCAUCCAAAAAACAGGCUUAUUUAUCGUUCUGAGAAAAGAAAUGUACUAGCAGGCAUUUUAUUUUGUGUUUAGAUUACCAUUCUGCCACCCAUUAGUGAAGCCAAGAAUAUUAACAAGAGGUUAAGCUGUUACGUGUGCAGGACGCAUAAACACUCUAAAGAUUCCUGCUUGCACUGUGAUCAUUAGGAUGGUAAUAUUUUUACCAAAACCACCCAUGUAUUCACCUAAAUAGUUAAGAAAGCAGUAGCAUGAUAUCUGCUUACCCUUCCAAUUAGGGAGGAAGCAGAUAUUAUGCAGAAAAUUGUACUUGGAUCAUACCCUGCCUGACCUUUUAAGGUUGUCUGUCUUCACAUUUACUGCCUCUUGGAGUUGCACAAAUUAAUAUAUUUAUCUUUGCUAGAAAGAUAAAUGAAACCACAUUGGUAAAUACAGAUCUAUUUUGUCACUGACUUUGCCCCAAAAUGAAACCUUUACUAUGUCACCUAUGGCACUUAAUGCUAGUCUAUCAAAUGUAUUUGCAGGAGGAAACACAGAAAUAAAAUGCAGUCCCUUGGGUCCCUAUAUGGGCCC